GACAUCCUGCCAGUUCAUCAGCUGUACAGCACGGUAGAAAUUCAAUCUGCAGGCUGAAAAAAAAAACAAAAACAAAGCUGUUUUUUCUGCUUCUUCCAUACAUUUCGUUUUUUUUUAU
rnacentral:ribozyme from 10 species